CAUUUUUCUCUCCUUAUCUGGAUAUUAGGAAGAAUAUCACAGGACCGGCUUACAGCGCCAGUCACAUCUGACCAUAUCAGAGCACAGUGUACUCCUCUUGCCGUAUUCAGAGGAUUUGCCUAUGGGCAGCAACAUUAUUCUCUCGUUCUCUGGAUAUUAGGAACAAUAUCACAGGACCGGCGGACAGCCCCAGUCAUAUCUGAAAAUAUCACAGCACGGUGUACUCGUCUUGCCGUAUUCAGAGGAUUUGCCUAUGGGCAGAAACAUUCCCCUCUCC